AUACGUAGGUGACAAGCGUUAUCCGGAUUUACUGGGCGUAAAGGGCGUGUAGGCGGUCUUGCAAGUCAGAAGUGAAAUUCCUGAGCUCAACUCGGGCGCUGCUUCUGAAACUGCAGGACUUGAGUGCUGGAGGGGAUAGCGGAAUUCCUAGUGGAGCGGUAAAAUGCGCAGAUAUUAGGAAGAACACCGGUGGCGAAGGCGGCUAUCUGGACAGUAACUGACGCUGAGGCGCGAAAGCGUGGGGAGCAAACAGGAUUAGAUGCCCUGGUAGUCCACGCUGUAAACGAUGAUUACUAGGUGUGGGGGGACUGACCCCUUCCGUGCCGCAGUUAACACAAUAAGUAAUCCACCUGGGGAGUACGGCCGCAAGGUUGAAACUCAAAUGAAUUGGCGGG
rnacentral:rRNA from 1 species